rnacentral:rRNA from 1 species
UACGUAGGGGGCCAGCGUUGCUCGGAAUUACUGGGCGUAAAGGGUCCGUAGGCGGUGUGGCAAGUCGGGAGUGAAAUCUCUGGGCUUAACCCAGAGGCUGCUUCCGAAACUGUCGGGCUAGAGUCCGGAAGAGGCGAGUGGAAUUCCUGGUGUAGCGGUGAAAUGCGCAGAUAUCAGGAGGAACACCAAUGGCGAAGGCAGCUCGCUGGGACGGUACUGACGCUGAGACGCGAAAGCGUGGGGAGCAAACAG